ensembl:lncRNA
CGCCUCCCGCGCACGCGCGGGGAGAGCGAGGUUCGCCGGCCCCCCGCCUGCGCUUUCUCGCCGGUGUUUCGGACGCGCGGGGGGGGCGAUCCUUGCCACGGGCCUGGCCCCGGCCUCAGAUUUGGGUUUGAGUUCGGGUUUUUCGGGGUUCUCACGGCCGGCGGCGGCGGGCAGGCACAGGGNUGCUGGGGACAGGGACAGUCACCAGUGCAGGCCUGCACUCACCCUGCAGCACCUCCACAGCCCCAGCUGAGCCCUGGCCUGGCUGGGGCUGUGUGGGCAUUGCCAGGCUGGGGCUGUGUGGGCAUUGCCAGGCUGGGGCUGUGUGGGCAUUGCCUGGCCUGGGCUGUGUGGGCAUUGCCUGGCCUGGGCUGUGUGGGCAUUGCCAGGCUGGGGCUGUGUGGGCAUUGCCAGGCUGGGGCUGUGUGGGCAUUGUCUGGCUGGGGCUGUGUGGGCAUUGUCUGGCUGGGGCUGUGUAGGCAUUGCCAGGCUGGGGCUGUGUGGACAUUGUCUGGCCUGGCUGGGGCUGUGUGGGCACUGCCCAGCCUGGCUGGGGCUCCUCAGCAGCUCUGGAGGGGCAGGGCUGUGGGCACAAGGGCAAAGAAGGAUGUUCUGCUGUUGCAAGGAAUGAUCAUCAAAUUGUGUCCAAUAAUUUGUAUUCCUAAGACUGUUUUCUGUGAAAUUCAGCAAUCCAGCUCUCCACAGGAUAAUGCAGUGUGAAGCACAUGGAAAAUCAUUUUGUUUUUAGGUGCCACUCAGUUUACCUGAUUCCCAUGGAGCUCCUGCCAAAUGCUCUGGAGCUGUUCAAUCCUUGCCAAAUCGUGGCUCUAGUCCUGAAGGGAGGCUGUGUCUCAAAGUGUGCCCUGGCUUGGGCACACUUGGAGGGGAGCCCUGCAGGGCUGGGAGCCUCAGUCCAGCGUGGAAAAUGCCCAGCAAAACCCUGGAGCAGGCCCUGGAAAUGAGCUGGGAGUGCUGCUGUGCCAGAGCAUUGCAGAGAGAUGCUCCUCUCUCUCUCUGUUCCAGGAGAGGUGCCCCUUUCUAGAUAUCUCCAGUAUAUACCUAAACCUCUUCCCAGUUUACUACAGGUGAAUUUUGAAAUCUGUAGUUAAAUACUUCAAAUAUAAAAAGAUACUUUAGACAAGUUCAGCAACAAUUUUGACUUUCUAAGUUCAUUGCAUUCUGCUUAGCACUACCAGCUGUAUGAAAAAAAAGACUUUUUCUGCCAAGGAAAUAUAUGUAAUCAAUAUUUGUGUUGUACAGCAAUCAUCAAAAUCCAUGGGUGUUGCCAGAAAUACACCUCAGAAUUUAAUGAGAUCUGUCAAGGAAAUGAAAUUCAGCACUGAGUUGCCCAAAGGAAACCAGAGCCUACCACCAGGUUUUAUGUGCUUGCCUCUCCUCAGCUCCGGAGCAGAGGCAUAACAAGGUCCAUAUUUCCCUCUCCUGUUUUGAAUGUUUUUCCCUUGUCCAAGGCAGCUUUCCCAGGGACUGGCAGGGAGAUGGGGCCCUGUUGGGAGUGCUGACUGCUCACCCACGCUGGGAUCCAAAUGCCCUGGCUCCCUGCUGCCCACCCUUGGCAGAGCAGACACCACAAGGCUGCACUUGCCUCGUGGGGCUGGAGUUUUGGGGUGACCUUUGGUUUGCAAACCACACAGAGGAAAUCCCACAUUGCCCUGGUGGGACACGCCUGUGGGUCCCAAGGGGAGCACACCCAGCACAUCUCAGAAAGCUCUGGCCAUGGGCUGUGUGUGAGGAUAGAUCAGGUUCUCUGCUCUGACCUUUAUCCCCAUCAAGGGAUCCAUGAGAGGGCACUCAGUGUUCCUGGUAAUUACAGAUGCUCCACUUACUCACUGGCUGAGGUGUGGGACAUCAAAACAUGGUGAACAAAUGUCCCAAAUCAUCUUUUCCCAUGCAGUCAGGAUUUCUGGGUGGAAAGGAGCAGCAUGGCCACUCAUCUGUGGCUGUAGUGGUGUUAUUCCAGGAGAUACUCUAGCCUAAAGCCAGGAGGAGGAAUGAUGACAGCUAAAUGGGGCAGAGGAAAAUGUUUGUUUGUUGGAGGGAGUGGGAAUGGCUGGAGGAAGCAAAGCAAGCAUGGAAUUCUGAUGCUAGAUUUUAUCAAUUCGUAAAGUUUAAUUACUUAUACUUGUGGUACCUCUGAAGAGAAAGGGAAUCCAGGUUAAUCUUCACAAGAUAUGCAAUAGAAAUUAUUUAUUAAAAUAAGGCCCAUUACUGUGAUUAUCAGAUACAUUUUUAAUUAAAUCUAAAGUUGUGUCAGUAGAAAUUUUUACUUCUAUGAUCUCAAAAUAUUUGGGCUUGUUCAUCUUUCUAAGCUUCUCUUCCAUAAAGAUCAUGAACUUGGCUUAAUUAGAAGGAGUAGUUAUAAUGUCAGAGCAAAUUAAUUUCAGUCAACCAAAGGGGCCCUUUGAGGAUGCCAGUCCCCACCUGUAGCUGAGAAAUCCCGGCUCUGGCGCUGAGCGAGCUCUCAUUAAAUGGGAAUGAGAUUUCCAUGGAUCCAUGGCAGGAGCAGCCCGGGAUCGGCACAGGGACCGCGACCUCACAGCAGGACAGCGCACCAGGUUAAUUCCCAACACGUUUCCCAGCCUCUGCUUGACUUUAAAGAGGGGUUGGGAGCUCUGGAAGCAGGUUUGUAUGCAGGGCCUCUCCCAGGGAGUUGCACUGUUGGCUCUCAGGGAUGUCUCUGUGAUAUAUUCAGUUUGCAAGCAGAAAAGAUUUCAGCUUUUUAGCUACUCUUUCUUAGCUUUAGGUACUCUUCUUUAGCUACUCUUCUAACGGAGCCAGGACGAAAUUCUCAGUUGUGUAAACAUAUCAGUUGAUCUGAGUAUUCAUUUUUACAUGAGAUUGUCUUUUAGGUCCCAAGCACAAGAGACUAUAUUUUUCACUCAAUAUUAGCUUUAAAUUUCUGCUUUUGUUGUUUUUUGGUUUUUUUUUUUAAAUCAAAUCCCUUUCUUUUGAUGCUACUGCACUAAUUUUGUAUGUAAAAUAGCAGAGCAAUUUCACAUCCUAAAAUGAAUUUAUUUGCAUAAAAAUAAGCACAGUAACUUUUUUUUAGGUGUUAAAACAUAAAAUAAAAGUAUCAGUUAAUAGUAAAUCA